rnacentral:rRNA from 1 species
UCCUGGCUCAGAACGAACGCUGGUGGCGUGUCUUAUACAUGCAAGUCGAGCGAGGCAGCAAUGCCGAGCGGCGAACGGGUGAGUAACGCGUAAGCAAUCUGCCCCAUAUCAGGAAAUACCCGUGCCAACGCGCGGUUAAUGUCCAGGAGAGUGGCCCUCUGCAUGGAGGGUUGACUAGAGAUUUAUCGGUAUGGGAUGAGCUUGCGUCCGAUUAGCUAGUUGGCGGGGCAACGGCCCACCAAGGCGACGAUCGGUAGCCGGCCUGAGAGGGUGAUCGGCCACAUUGGGACUGAGAUACGGCCCAGACUCCUACGGGAGGCAGCAGUAGGGAAUAUUGCACAAUGGGGGAAACCCUGAUGCAGCAACGCCACGUGUGGGAAGAAGCAUUUCGGUGUGUAAACCACUGUCAUGAGGGAAUAAGGCCCGCCUUCGGACGGGAUUGAAUGUACCUUGAGAGGAAGCACCGGCAAACUUCGUGCCAGCCGCAGC